UUGAUUGAACAACUGUGUGAUUGUUGAAGAUGGGAAGGUCAUAGCCUCGGGAAGAAAUCGAACUAAUGAGACACGAAAUGCUACAAGGCACGCAGAGAUGGAAGCCUUUGAUACUCUUCUUGAGCAGUGGAGAGAACAUAGGCUUUCAAAGUUAGAAGUUGCCAAAAAGUUUUCAAAAUGUAAACUCAUGUUACAUGCGAGCCAUGCAUAAUGUGUGCAGUGGCUUUAUCAUUUAUUGGAAUAAAGGAAGUAUUUUAUGGUUGUGCCAAUGACAAAUUUGGUGGGUGUGGAUUAGUAUUGUCGUUGCACUUAAGUAGCUCUGAGCCACAAACGAGGUUUAUUUCUGAACCCACAUCACAAGCAAAAUUUGAGUCAGUUUUUGUAGUGUUUUCCCUAGUCAUUAUUUUCUCUUGGAAAUCUUUUACCAACUGUUACCUUGUUUUGAUGUACCUUUCUAAGAAACAGUUCUUGGUCCAAAAAUUGUAGGGAACUACAUAAGUAUCUUUACCUACUGUGAAUGGACAGAUACACGCACCACAAGAUUCAUAUAUGAAAUGCAUUUUAUGCAUAUAUGCACAUAAUUUCCAUCUUCAAUUUAAUAUGACAAAACAUGAAAUCUCUUCACUAAUGAUGGUGUGUUGAGAAUGUCUGAUGAUAUCUUUUCGUUAUCAAUAUUAUGCCGAGUUUUAUUGGAGGAAUGUGCCGAUGAGAGGAGUUCGAGUUUAGGCCUUAAAAUUUUUCUUAUGGUUGAUUGUUUCCUCCAUAUUUAGUGGUAGGAUGUCUGCACCUAAUUAGUGGAUUCUUGAUGAGUUAAUCAAUACGUUCACCUUGUUAGAUAGCACAAACAAUCCUACCAUAUAGAAAGAGGAUGUUGCCUAUCAUAGACUUGGCUGUAAGAGGUGAACUGGAAGUUUUUUUUUUUUUUUUUUUUUUUUUUUUGUGAUUCCUUAGUUGUGUUAGGAUUUUUGGCUUGUCAAAUAUGUCCUAGUCGGUUUGGGUUUGUUUUAGGAAAAUUAGAUGAAUGUCGAUUCUUGUCCUAGAGGGAUUAGGAAAGAAUUUCAGUUUUCCUUAUUCAAUUUAGGUUUGGAUUUCUAGAAGUCUAUUUGGAUUUGGAUAAGUGUAAUUUCCUAAUCCACUUCGAAAUAGGAAUUCAAUCAACCUUGGGACAUGUAAGCCUGCCCUAUGCCUAUAAAUAGGGUGCGGUAAGGCUUAAUUUUUAGAGAGAAAACAGCCAGAGACAGCCGAGAGUGAGAUUAGUUCUAGGGUUUGCAAAAGUUCUGUAAUC